UAGGGAAUCUUCGGCAAUGGACGAAAGUCUGACCGAGCAACGCCGCGUGAGUGAAGAAGGUUUUCGGGUCGUAAAACUCUGUUGGUAGAGAAGAACGUUGGUGAGAGUGGAAAGCUCAUCAAGUGACGGUAACUACCCAGAAAGGGACGGCUAACUACGUGCCAG
rnacentral:rRNA from 1 species